UACGUAGGUGGCAAGCGUUGUCCGGAUUUACUGGGCGUAAAGGGCGUGCAGGCGGUUUGUUAAGUGCAGCGUGAAAGCUCCCGGCUCAACUGGGAGAGGUCUUUGCAUACUGGCAAACUCGAGGGAGGCAGAGGAAAGUGGAAUUCCCGGUGUAGUGGUGAUAUGCGUAGAUAUCGGGAGGAACACCUGUGGCGAAGGCGGCUUUCUGGGCCUUACCUGACGCUGAGACGCGAAAGCGUGGGGAGCGAACAGG
rnacentral:rRNA from 1 species